AACGCACGAGACCUGCGGACCUGCGGAAGGAUCAUCGUGGAGGUGAGGGGAUAUUUUAGCCGUGUGAACGGUAGGUGGGUAGGGUGGGUGAGUGGGGCGCGCAUGGGCACCGCGAGUCGCGCGAGUCGCACAUGGGCACCACAUGUCACGCAUCCUGGCCUUCUCUGAUAACAACUGAUGCAUACACAUUCUAAACCUGCGUCGAGCUGGCGACCACAACCCAGCACGCUAACUAGUACA
rnacentral:misc_RNA from 1 species